UUUUCAUUGGUUUUUAUCAGUAUCCUGUUCUGAUAAAAGUUAGUGAAAAAUACUUCACUAACGUAGCCUCUCGCAGUGCCAGACACCGAGUGGGUUACGUUUUUUU
rfam:Enterococcus cecorum DSM 20682 = ATCC 43198 genomic scaffold adfme-supercont2.2, whole genome shotgun sequence.